UACGUAGGGGGCAAGCGUUGUCCGGAUUUACUGGGCGUAAAGCGCGCGUAGGCGGAACGAUCAGUCCGGUCUGAAAGCCCCCGGCUCAACCGGGGAGGGUGGCUGGAAACUGUCGUUCUUGAGGGCGAGAGAGGAGGGUGGAAUUCCUGGUGUAGCGGUGAAAUGCGUAGAUAUCGGGAGGAACACCAGUGGCGAAGGCGACUACCUGGCCUGUUUCUUGACGCUGAGGCGCGAAAGCUAGGGGAGCAAACGGG
rnacentral:rRNA from 1 species